UCCGGUUUGACACCGGCAGUCUCCCUAGAGUGCCCGGCAUAACCCGCUGGUAACUAGGGACGAGGGUUGCGCUCGUUGCGGGACUUAACCCAACAUCUCACGACACGAGCUGACGACAGCCAUGCAGCACCUGUGUUCCAGGCUCCGAAGAGAGGGUCACAUCUCUGCGACCGGUCCUGGACAUGUCAAGCCCAGGUAAGGUUCUUCGCGUUGCAUCGAAUUAAGCCACAUGCUCCGCCGCUUGUGCGGGUCCCCGUCAAUUCCUUUGAGUUUUAAUCUUGCGACCGUACUUCCCAGGCGGGGCACUUAAUGCGUUAGCGGCGGCACCGAGGGAGUGGAUACCCCCGACACCUAGUGCCCAUCGUUUACCGCGUGGACUAC
rnacentral:misc_RNA from 1 species